GCUGAGCUUUAGGGCUCAAUCAUGAGAUAGGAGGACCUGGUCUGAAACAGUAUGGGAAGAGAUUAGAGUUAGACUCCAGGAAAAUGUCCAGGUGGUGUGUGGAGGGACCUGAUGGAGCCCUCAGAGAGGAAGAGAGGGGCAUGGGGCCAGGUUGCCAUCACUGGUCUUUGUACACAGGCCCUGGAGGAGACCACAGAGGCUCUAGCCCAGGCCAUGCCGAGCCCCAGGCAGAGUCCCUGUUAUUUCAGCCUUACAUCCUCAUCUGGGCUGCCCCGCUAAGCAGGGCCCCUGGAGCCAGUCCCAAUCUGUUUCCUUCUAUUCUUUGACAGGAAGCUCCUGGAGAGCCAGCCCCCACCCCCACCCCACCCCAGCACUCCCUUUCUCUUCUCCGCUAUGGAUAGAGCCUCUAGGAAGCCAGAAGCUGCCUGCCUGCCACAGACCCAGCUGACAUGGGGACAGUGGGAGCUAUGCAGUGUUGGUGCUGGGUGAUCCUCGGCUUCCUCCUACUCCAAGGCCACAACUCCCAGCCUUCCACAACGCAGCCCUCUAGUCCUCAGGGGUACUUCAGCAGUCUAAGUCUGACCAUAAAGCCAACCUCUCUAAGAGAUAGGCCUUCCUCAGAGACUAACAGCCCAAGCCUUCCCUCCAGCACAAGUACCCCAGCAGAUUCAAAAGAGGCCUCACAAGCCUCCAUCGUAGCCGGUAAACCCCUGACGCCAAGGUCAAGCUCCGUGGACGGUCACUCCCCGUCCUUGAUGGGCCUGACCCCAUCACAGACACAGAAGCUCACAUCAGGACUUGACAUCUCUCAAAAUGUUACUCCCAAAUCAGCUACUAUGAGCCUGAGGACAACACAAGACUCAACCAUCCUGCCCAGCCCCACGUCAGAGACCGUGCUUACUGUGGCUGCAUUUGGUGUUAUCAGCUUCAUUGUCAUCCUGGUGGUUGUGGUGAUCGUCCUAGUCGGUGUAGUCAGUCUAAGGUUUAAGUGUCGGAAGAACAAGGAGUCUGAAGAUCCCCAGAAACCUGGGACUUCAGGGCUAACUGAAAGCUGCUCCACAGCCAAUGGUGAGAAAGACAGCAUCACUCUCAUCUCCAUGAAGAAUAUCAACAUGAAUAACAGCAAAGGACGCACCUCAGCAGAGAAGGUUCUUUAAAAGCAACUUUGGGAUCCCCAUGGGUCCGAGGAUGAUGCAGCUGCCCUGUGACUAUUUAGACUCUACAAGGUGAUCUGAGAGGGAAAGCCUAGAACAAAAAGUUUCACUCUGUCUCAUUGAAACUAUUCAAGUGGACUGAAGAAACCCACAGAUUUUCUAAAAUCCUCUAGGGCAGGGCCUGUAACCUGCUCAUGUCUGUAGCUCCUGUGUGGUACACUGUGCCCAGCAUAUCAGAGUUCAUAACAACUGGCUCUCCAGUGCAAGAAAUCUAGUCACAAGGCUGGGCUCUGCCACAGACUUGCAGCUUGACUUUGGUGAAAUCACCCCCAUCUCUGAGCCUAUUUUCUUACUUUUAAAGUGAAGGGGCUGGGCCGGCCCCGUGGCUUAGCGGUUAAGUGCGCGCGCUCCACUACUGGCGCCUAGGUUCGGAUCCCGGGCGCGCACCGAUUGGAUCCCGGGCGCGCACCAACGCACCGCUUCUCCGACCAUGCUGAGGCCGUGUCCCGCAUACAGCAACUAGAAGGAUGUGCAGUUAUGACAUACAACUAUCUACUGGGGCUUUGGGGGGAAAAUAAAUAAAUAAAUAAAUUUAAAAAAAUAAAGAGAAGGGGCUGGACUACUUGGCCUUCACUAUCUUUGCUGGCUCUUAUAUUCUACAGUUCUAUAAACUCUAGAUGUAGGAAAAAAUGAACACAAUCUUGUUUUUUGUUGUUGUUGUUGUUGGGAAAGAUUCACCCUGAGCUAACAUCUAUUGCCAAUCUUCCUCUUUUUUUUUUUUCCUCCCCAAAGCCCCAUUACAUAGUUGUAUAUUCUAGUUGUAGGUCCUUCUAGUUCUUCUAUGUGAGCCGCCACCACAGCAUGGCUACUGACAGAUGAGUGGUGUGGUUCCAGGACCAGGAACUGAACCCAGGCCGCCGAAGCAGAACACGCCAAACUUUAACCACUAGGGAAUGAGGGCUGGCUUAACACAAUCUUUUCAGUAGAGAUCACUCUGGGUGGGAGCCAGAGACAAGUCCUGUGAUUAGUCUAGGUGACUCUGGGCAAGUUUUUGACAUUCUCUGGACUUAGAUUUCCCUGUGUAUUAAUGUGUAUUAAGGGAAGGAUGAUCCCUACCUGGCCCUGUCAACCUCACAGCCUACUUGGUAGGUAAAAGGAAUAGUAAGUGUGGAGAUACUUGGGAAGUAAAAUUACUAGUUGGCAACAGUAGCAGACAACAUGGAGCACCACCACCCAGGUCCCACUUCAGGAUCAAGACAUUUGUUCCUCUAGCUGCUGGGAGUGUUGGCUGCUGAGGGCUCAAAGCUAGUUGAUGACUGGUUGAUGG